rnacentral:ncRNA from 1 species
UAGUGGUUACACAUGCAAGUCGGGAGGGAAGUGGGGUUUUCAGCGGCAACUGCCUUGUAAGCUGAGAAGCAAAAGAAGGAAUCUGCCAGAGAAGAGGCUCGCAUUUCAUUAGCUAAUAUUUGAGGUAAUAGCUUACCAAGAUGAUGAUCGGUAGUUGGUUCUAAAAGAAGCCAAACUAAGACUGAGACACAUCCUAGGCUCCAAUCAGAGGCAGGAGUGGGGAAUUUUCUGCAAUUGAUGAAAACUUUGACGGAACAAUGCUGCAUCGAGGUAGAAGGUUCACGGGUCGUGAACUUCUUUUCCCAGAAAAAAAAAAGAAAAAAAAAGCAAUGAUGGUAUCUAGAAAAUAAUCAUCCACAAACUCUAUGCCAAUUGUUCCAAUCCCGUGUUUGAUA